UACGGAGGGGGCUAGCGUUGUUCGGAAUUACUGGGCGUAAAGCGUGCGCAGGCGGUUGUGCAAGACCGAUGUGAAAUCCCCGGGCUUAACCUGGGAAUUGCAUUGGUGACUGCACGGCUAGAGUGUGUCAGAGGGGGGUAGAAUUCCACGUGUAGCAGUGAAAUGCGUAGAGAUGUGGAGGAAUACCGAUGGCGAAGGCAGCCCCCUGGGAUAACACUGACGCUCAUGCACGAAAGCGUGGGGAGCAAACAGG
rnacentral:rRNA from 1 species